CCCUUAGAUGUCCUGGGCCGCACGCGCGCUAUACUGAGUGUCUGAGAUACGAGUCUGCCUGGUCCGGCAAGGUCUAGGUAAUCGCUAAAAGACACAUCAUGCUUGGGAUAGAUUAUUGCAAAUAUUAAUCUUGAACGAGGAAUUCCUAGUAAGCGCAAGUCAACAGCUUGCGUUGAUUACGUCCCUGCCCUUUGUACACACCGCCCGUCGCUACUACUGAUUGGAUGUUUAAGCGAGGUUCUCGAACUGCUAGCGACUUAGCUUCGGUGAGGUCGCAGUGUGGGAAGUGAACCUAGCUUUGGUGUCUAGAGGAAGUAAAAGUCGUAACA
rnacentral:rRNA from 1 species